rnacentral:lncRNA from 1 species
GGCCUGAUAUUCGGUGGAGAGCCGCAGCUGCCCGCCGCGGGGCCCCAGGCGCAGCACGCUCUCGCGCGUGGGCCGCAGCUGGCAGCACAGGAAGUCCAGGUGGAAGAGCGGCGGCGUGGGCGGCCCGGCGCGGCGCGGCGAGUGCGGGCUGGUAUCGGCCGAGCUCGCUUUUUCUGGGGACAGAGAGUGAGGCCUGGACACCCGGCGCCGGCCCAGGCCUGGCCGCGGGGAGCCGAAGGGCGACGAGUCCGGCGACGAGGCCGUGUCGCUGUCGGGGGCCCGGCAGAGGCGCAGGUCCGGGGCGGAGACGUGCAGCCGGGACUGCGCCGCGGGGAGUCCCCCGGCCGGGGCAGGUGGCGGCCCGUGGAACAGGGAUUCCCGCCGGCGCGUGUGCGGGCUCUCGGGCAGGAAGGCCCAGCCUUCGCGGCCCGCCAGGGCCGAGAGGGUCCAAAUCCCGUCUCAGAUGGGAGUGCUCGGCGGAGCGGGGCUGGGCGAGGAGCGCAGAGGAGUCAGAGGUGAGUGAUGCUGGCGUACACCGGGCGGUCAGCCACCGCGCCCCGGUCUCCGGACCCACUGGGAGCGCGGACCCCUAUUUGAGCAGAAAAAGAAAGGGCGGCGCAGUCUGGGGGGCUGGGGAGAAAUGGAGGGAGCAAAGGGCCAGUCAGUCACAUUUUCAUAUACGGGCCUCCGUCACCAAGUACACAGAUUCUCCCACUGGUACUAAAGAUGCCCCAUUCACCUUACAGUUAGAGGGCCCAUAUAGUAUCCACCAGAACCCUAGGGUACUAUUAGGACAAAUAGGAUAAUAACCGCAUUAUAGCAAAAGGACUCAGAUCCCAACCCCCCUGGGACACUGCGCCCUAGGCGGGCUCACGCCCUCCUCCCCCGCCCAUUUCGAAGACUUGGGUUUUCCUCUGGGAUCCAGUCUGGCGCCCCUUGGGACUUCCUCCCUUUGCCAGGCUGCCCCGGCUCAAGCUUCUCUGGCCUGAGCCAUCCCUCAGUCCUAGCCCCACCUGCCUCCUCUGGCUCCUCCUUCCCCUCCUCGAGUCGCUCCAAGCCAGAAGAGGACUCACUUCUGCUCCUGGCAGCCAGGGGACACACCUGGCUGCUGACCUCAGGACACCCUGGGCUGGUCCAAGGAGACGCACCUCCCGGGGACACAGAAUCCCACCCCCAGUAGCCCUGACCGUCCAGCUCCCGCGCCUCCCAGCCCUACCGCAUCCCGCGUCUGCAGGGCGGGGCCGGGCCGUUGGGUCGCCCCUCCUACUCUCCACUCCUUUUCUCCCUCGGAAACCACCGAGCACAAAGGCAGCAUUGAUUCUCCGCCACCCUCAGAGCGGUCUCCGGAAGGCUCCGCCACCACGCGCUCGCCUCACCCCUGCGCGGAGCCACCAAGAGCACCGUGUUCCGACCCUCUGCCCUGGGAUCCGAGCUAGCGACCCUCUCCGUCGCGCGCCCGGAGUGCUGGCCUCACCUGUGGGUCGCUUUUGGGUUCUGGCCUCAGGCCCUGAAACUUUCAGAGCCAGAGGGGAGCAGCUUUCUCUGCAGCUUGCUCCCCCAGCGCAGUCCUUAUGGGAGGAGCUGGCAGGGGCCUCCGCUGCCUACGUCCUACCUCUUUUCCUGGAUAAACACAGCUCUGUCUGCGCGGCCAUCAGCCCGGUCUUCUGACUUCCUCCAGCUGAAGCCAGGUUUCUAGCAACAAUCCAUUCCUGUGCCCAGGCCUCCUCUGCUGAAGCUGGGCUGCUUAGGGGUGGGGGAGGGCUACAGAGAAGAGGGAGACGGCCAUCAGUGGACAGUGGCCACUUCUUUGGUGCUCGGUUCCAACCCCAGCCCUCACAGGUGAAGUCCAUCUUCUGUAAAACCCUCCUGGUUGAAAUCCUGCCUUGGCCCCCAGUGCCCUGUUCUGGAGCCAUUCCAAUAGCUCCAAGGCAGAGUGACUUGCAGUGAUCAGUUGUCUGCAUUAUUCUGGCUAAUAGUUCUCUGAAUUAUUGUGGCUAAAGGAAAAGUGGCCAGACUCAGGAUUUCUGGACUUAGAAACACUGAAGAUAAAGCUGGAUCCAACAGUCAGGAUCAAGCUGGCCUAUGUCCUCCAUCCCUGACAGAUCUUAGGAAGCACAGGCCACCACAGACAAGAUGAGACCAUCAGUUGCAGUCUAGACACACCUACCAUCCUUCAGUCUCUGAAAGGAAGCAAGGCUAGUUCCUCCCCUAGGACCACUCUUCUCCUUCAUGCUUCAGCUCUGGAGGCCCUCACUGACACCCUCCCAUCUAAAUUAGGGGCACCUGCUGUACACUUUCAUAGUACCUCAUACUUUUCCUUUAUAGCAUUGAUUACAGUUUUUCCCCCUCUAUUUAUGUGGUUAUUUGUUUAAUGUCCACCUCUCUUACUAGACUAAGAAUCUUAAAAACAGUGCUUGGUGCAAAGCAGGUACUCAGUCAGGAUGUAUUUGAUGAGUGAAGUAGUAAGCAAAAUUAUACUUGAAUCAAUUUGUUCAUCCAUUCAUUGAAGUGCCUAAAAUGCACCAGGCACUGUGCUAGGGGGAUACAUAGAAUAGAGAGCUGUCUAAGGGGAGAGACAGACAAUAAACAUGCAAACAACAAUAAGACAAAUCCUGAAAUGCAGGAAAAAAGAUGAAACAAACCAGUGAAUGCAAUGAUUAUUGUGUCAUCUAAUACUUGAAGAUUUUAACAAAGCAAGUGUUUCUUCUGUGGCGAUCCCUGGUGGCCUCCAGACCUUCCAUUCAUGUGGCUUCUGACUCAGCUCAGCCCUGGUGUUGUUUCUGGGGAGGGUCCAUGUUCUUGGAGUGCUGCAGUAUUCAUUGCUUUGUCAUCAGUCAGAUGGGCUGGGAAUCUGGAUUCUGCGACUGACUAGCUGUGUGACCUCUAGCAUGUAACUUAAUCUCUUUGGGGCUUACCUUUUCCAUCUGGAAAACAGAAAGAAUAAAACUCUCAGAGUUGGUAUGAGGAUUAAAGAUAACACGUGGGCAUCAUUUAGGCUGACAUCCGCUAAAAGUGUGAGAAAACAGAAAACCCAACUCAGUCUGACUUAACAAUAUGGACACUUGACUUCCAUAAUAAGAAGUCCAGAAGUAGGUAGGACCCAGGGAACACAACUGUUUUAUUUUUCUUCCUCUUCUUUUUUCUCUUUAGGCUAGUCAAGUGAAGCAAUGGGAGUGGAGAUGGAACAAAGAAAUCUGCAAUUGGUUGUGAUCAAUUAGUUGUAAACACUACUGCACUUGGACCAACCUCUUCCUUUUCCUGACUGCUUAGGAAGGAUGGAAUGUAUUUCCUUCCUUCUGGGAGUGUUUGAAUGAAGAUUAGACUCUCCUUGACCAUGAAUGAAGAGCAACCAGUUUUUUAGUAUACAGUGAUUUAGACUCUGGGUCUAGAGUGUAGAUAUCAUGGGCACUGUGAAAGCACAGAAGGAGAAAAGGUUUUUAUGUGAGUAUAUGGGAGAGGAAAUAGUUUAUUGUCAUAAGCUUUUUGGCUAUGGCCUCCAUUACAUCUCUAGCUUUUGGAAGGCACUAAAUUGAGGCCAUUCAAAUCCAUGUCCACCUAUCCUUUGCCCGUCACGAGACUGAUGGCUUAGGAAGCAUGUGGUCUAGGUACUAGAGAGGGAGCCUGACCCACCUACCUCACCGCUGCUGCUGAAUUUGUGCACAACUCUCUGACCUGGUUCCAUGUCACAAAGGGUUUCAUUCUCUCUGAUUCCCUGAAUCCCCAGCUCUAGCCGCAGAUCCUGGAACCCUAGCAUAUGCCUGAAGCUGAAUAUUUUACUUGCCAGAGUAAGAGUUUUUACAUAGACUCUGUCAUCUUCUACUGGCCCUCCUCUUAAACUGAGGCAGCGGCUGCUAGCUACUCACCAAACCUAUUUUACUUUCUUUUUCUUUUUUUUUUUUUUUUUUUGAGACAGAGUCUUGCUCUGUCGCCCAGACUGGAGUGCAGUGGUAUGAUCUCGGCUCACUGCAACCUCCGCCUCUCAGGUUCAAGCGAUUCUCCCACCGUAGCCUCCUGAGUCGAUGGGAUUACAGGUGUGUGCCACCACACCCAGCUAAUUUUUGUAUUUUUUGGUAGAGAUGGAGGUUUCACUAUGUUGGCCAGGCUAGUCUCUAACUCCUGACCUCAAAUGAUCCACCCACCUCAGCCUCCCAAAGUGCUGGGAUUACAGGCAUAAGCCACCGUGCCUGGCCCCCCAUUUUACUUUCUUCUUUAACAUAUAGUUAGAAUGAAAACAUGUUGAAGGGAUGAUGGCAUUAGAAAAUUACCACUGGCCACUAUCACAGUAAUAAUUGCUUUAGGCAAGAAUGAUCGAUAAAAGCUAAAAUUAAUGGGCAAAAGUAUGAUGAGAAACAGGAUAUUUAUACAAUCGCAAAGUGCCUCCCAAUAAGAUACUUAUUAAAAAGGUAAAAAUGGUAAUUUUCAGUGGAGAAAUAUGGCAGACACCAUAGUAACCAACUGAUCAAAGGGAACAUUGGCAUUAAUGGGACAAAUCAGCAUCACGUUUCUCUUGUCAUGAAGCACUGAGAAGGCCACAGCAUUGCUUCUGAAAUAUUGCAACAAAAAUGAAUAACUUGAAUCUAAUGAUGAGGAAACAUUGGAGAAAUCCAAACCUUGGAACACGCUACAAAACAACUAACUCGUACUCUGAGAAACAUAUCAGUGGACUGGAUUCCAAACAGUGGCUCAUGCCUGUAAUUUUAACACUUUGGGAGGCCAAGUUUGGUGGGGCUUUGUGUCUGAAUUCUGGCCAAUGGAACCACGUGGAGGCCUGGCCCAGAACAUCUCCCUGUGGAUUCUCUCAUCUGGCAACUGGAUGCCUACACGAAGGGUGAUUUUGGAGUCAUGUGUUGGAGAUCACAAAGCUUUUGUCAGCCAGGUUCCUGAAUGACUGCUAGACACCAUGGGCUGAACUUUAUGAGCUCCAGCACCACCUCCAGCCUUCAGUGACUGUCUGGAGCAGGCAUCCGGAUGGAAGAGAAGGGGGACAACCAUGAACUUGGUGACCCACGGUCAGCCUGAUUUCCCUUGUGGACACAUUUAUGCCCAGUGUGCAUUCCUCCUGAGGUCUGUUCCAAGUCUGGAGGCAGCAGAGUAGAGUGGAGAGAACAGUGGACUUGGAAUCUCACCUCCCAGAUUAGAGUCCUGGAUCUGACUUUGAUUGCUGGUGCUGCCUCGGGCAAGUUACUUUAGCUGUGUGCAUCUCCAUUUCCCCAUGGAUAGAACAUGGGUUUUGGGUAGAAGUGUCUGAUAGCUGUACUGUGCUUUACGGUUCAUGAGCACGCACACAUAGGCCCAUAAUAUCAUAUCUCUGGUCACCCUGGCAGGUAGAUAUUAUUGCCCCAGGUUUCAGGUAAGAAGACUAAAGACCAGGGGUCAAUUGCUUGCUCAGAGUCCCACAGCCAGCAGCAGCCAGGCAGGACACCAAGUCAGAGUCUAGAUUCCGGAUCUUGCCCUCUUCCAAGUGUACCACAUUCUUCUCAAAGUGGCCUCUCAGGUCUUUUGUCCAGAAAAUUUUGAGACUUUGAUGAGAAGCCCAUAUCUGCACACUGGGGAUUAGGCCAGAUAACCCUGUGUGUCCUUCCAGGCCUGGUAUUGUGAGGCUGAAGCCUAGUGCCCCACACUCCCUUCCUCACCCCUUAGAGAAAGAUAGAGACUCCAGGGCCAGCCUGGUGGGUGCUGAACCUGCCCUGCUGAGCCAAGCCCAGGAGGCAGCCAAGGUCCUACCAGUGACCUUACCCUGGGGGCCCCUCCAGGUAGGAGCCUGGUUGGAAAAGACAGACCGACUUCUUCUGGGUUGGCUGGAAAAAGAUGACAUACUCAAAGCCUUGUCCUUCCACUUGGAUGCACCUGGUGAAGAUGCGACAGUCACCUUUGUCUGGGGAGAGAUAGGCAGUGUUGCAGCCGGAGAAGGGAGGGUAUGGUCAGGAUGCAGCACCAUUUGGUUGAGUCUUGCCUCUGGUACAAGAUUAAGGAGAGAAAACCAGAGGACACCAGGUCCACCCCCAGGGAGCCUUCCCUCUGGGAGCAGAGGCACAGUUGCUGUCCUCACAGAGCCUUUCUGUCUAGGGCAGAAACAUGCAGGAAGUGCCCUGGCUGAGAAUGGAGAUAGGAUCAGGGCCAGGGCAAGACUUUAAGAGACCAUAAGCAUUGAAAAUUGAAAAUGUAAUUACUCAUGUAACUCACAUAUAAUUCAAAAGAAUAAUAGUAAACAGUAAAAUAAGAGCAGAAAAGUCCAUCAAAGUUCUGAUUUUUUUUUUCCAAGACAGCUACCACUACUACAUCCUUUUUUGGAAGUAUCAAAUUCUUUGAAAAAAAAUUAUGUUGGUAUUCCUGCUUUGUUUGUGCCAUAAACCCAAGGGUAGUCUGUCCCCUGUACCACUCCUUCAUCACUAGGCAGGAAGACAACAUAUAUGAGUGAGAGAGACAGGGAGAUACACAUGCGUGCACACACGAGUGCACACACACACACAAGAAGGUGGAAGCUCUAUCAUUAGGAUCCAUUAGGAUCAUUAGGUGUUUCAGGAGUGCUGCUCCAGACCCCGCACAGCAGGGAUGAUGUGCAGGGCCUCAGUGGAAGGGGUGUGGGGUCCAAGGGCUUUCAUGGGGUUGGGGCGGAAGGCUUGGGAUGAGGCUUGAUAGUUAGGGAGGGGCAGUCAGUGAGAAGUCGGGGCAGGAGCUGGGCUGGCUGUCCUCCAGUGGGGACAUGCUUGGCUGGGAGCGAAGGUGGGCCCACCAGGGUGUGCUGCUUCAGAUGGGAGGAGGGGAGCUGGAGACCUGAGAGGACACCCGCCGCCUGUUGCCUGGGGCUGCAGCAUCAGGGGUGGAGUUGGACAGCAGGAAGAACUCGCUGAGAACUGGAAGGCGGUCUGUGAAGUUGCUUCUCAGUCUUAGAACACAGGGAAGGGCGGCUGGGGUGUGUGUACUCAUGGUCCUGUCCUUACCUGAGGAAACUGCCAGUCCAGAUGGGAGCUUGAGUCCCCGGAUGUGGUCUCUGUUGGACUUGAAGGAGGGCAGCUUGAUCCAGCCGCUAGACUUAGUCUUCUCCAGAAAUUCUUGGUACAGGCUCAGCAUGUCCGAACACCAGCUGGCAUUGGGAAGAGCAUAAUCCUUCAAGUCUGUCUUCUCUGGCAAGAAUCUUGAGAACUGGGCAGGAAAAAUCAGAAUGACUAGACAGCAUCCUGGAGGGGGGCUGCUGCCUGGGCUCGGGACCUCUAAACAGCUGUUCCUGGGUGCUGGGGCUUCUCAAUCCCUUCUGCCAGAGUAUCGAUCCAAGGGAAAGGGCCCAUAUUCCUUGCAGGGGGGCUGCGGACCCCUAUGGGUGACGGGGCAUAAGGAUGCUAAAGAGCAAGGGAAGGGCGGGCAGGGAGUGGGGCCAGAGAUGAUGGGCAUGCUGCUCGAUGUGGUGCCUUACCCUUGUUCUGCUUAAAACAUGUGAGCAGUUCUUUAAAGUUGACAACUGCUCAUAUUAGCCUCACUGUACAGAUGGGGAAACUGAGGGAAUACGGCCAAGGUUGCCAAGCAUGUGACUGUGAGAGCUGGUGGUCGCACUAGAUGCUGUCUCCUCUGCAGGGCAGGGUCACAGUUGUUGAGGACCAUUCUAGCAACCCCCACCUCAGGGGCUACUCCAGCUCUGCCCACUGCUGUGGGCCUGCCUGGGCAGGGUGGCUCCUUUGAAACACAUUUGGGCCCCCACAGAGGUGUGGUGCCAUGGCUGGGGCACAGACUAUGUGCCCAUCUGUGUGACGUAAGGAAGUCCUCUGUAGCGUCACCUGCUCAUACACCAGUCACAACUGUAGACAGCAUGUGAGCUGCUUGCCAAUGCCACAGAUGGGGUCCUCUGUCUGGGGAUACCCCAGCUUUGCUGCAGUAGUCUGAGUCCCACAGGAGGAAAGUCAUUUGUUGGUGGCCACACAAGACACAGAGCCAGAUGCAGGUCUCCUGGUAGUUUUAGUUUUGAAUGGGGGCAACUUGGUAUCCCAGAGCACUUUCUCUUUGCCAAAUCAAAUAGCUCCUCCGAACACUGCCCACCUGCCCUGGCCAUGGGCUGGGAAGAGGAGAUUUGGGGUGCUCCUUAAGCCCUAGGCUCCUGGGAAAACACUGCCCAUCUGGCUGAGCUGGGAACUCACCAUGGAGUCUGUGGAGGAUCCAAAUGCUGAGGCAGGGUUGAGUCUGGGCAGGAUACGGGGGGCCUCAAGAAGGCCUCUGUGGUGGCCAAGUCUUGCUGCCACCUGGAAGCAUCUCCUUAUCAUGGCCAAGUGCAAGGAUCCAGCCCUGCUUGGAUGGAGGGUCUUGGCUGACUCCCAAGGAGUGCUUUCAGCUGCACUUGGGGCCGCUUCUCUCCCUUCUGUUGCAGGCUUUCUUUCAGAGAGCUAGGCGAGGCUGGGCUGGUGUGCUGCAACACCCACAGAUGCUCGGCGCCUUUAGCUGGUCUAGGAGCCCCACCCAGUGCUUGGGGAGGGACAGAUGCUGCUUGGGCAUGAAAAGGCAGCAGGACUGGCUUGAGUUGCAAAAGGAGUAAACAAGUACAUAAACAAAUAGUAUGGGGUAUAUAGAGCCUUGGAGAGCUGCCUGGGGGUUCUGAGGGAGAAUCCAAGAAUAUUUCCAGAAGGAUAAGGGAAGCCUGUCCCUUGAUUGGAGGGUGCUGGUGGAGUGUUCUUGGUAUGUGCUCUGCAGUGUAUACCGGACUCUGAAAACUCUGGUAUGAUUUUGUGACUCAGAAAACCAACUCACAGGCCGGGUGCGGUGGCUCACGCCUGUAAUCCCAGCACUUUGGGAGGCCGAGGCGGCGGAUUACGAGGUUAGGAGAUCGAGACCAUCCUGGCUAACACGGUGAAACCCCGUCUCUACUAAAAAAAAUACAAAAAAUUAGCCGGGCGUGGUGGCGGGUGCCGGUAGUCCCAGCUACGCAGGGGGCUGAGGCAGGAGAAUGGCGUGAACCUGGGAGGUGGAGCUUGCAGUGAGCUGAGAUCUAGCCACCGCACUCCAGCCUGGGCGACUGAGCGAGACUCCGUCUCAAAAAAAUAAAAAUAAAAAAAUAAAAAAAAAGAAAACCAACUCACAGCCUUAGACACCUCUUUUUUUUUUUUUUUUUUUUUUUUGGUGAGACGGAGUUUCAAUCUUGUCGCCCAGGCUGGUGUGCAAUGGCGUGAUCUCGGCUCACUGCAACCUCCGCCUCCUGGGUUCAAGUGAUUCUCCUGCCUCAGCCUCCUGAGUAGCUGGGAUUACAGACACACACCACCACACCCAGCUAAAUUUUGUAUAUUUUUUUUAGUAGAGAUGGGGUUUUGCCAUGUUAGCCAGGCUGGUCUUGAACUCCUGACCUCAGGUGACCUCCCAAAGUGCUGGGAUUACAGGCGUGAGCCACCGCACCCGGCCAACACCUCUUCUUAUAUCCCGGACAAGGGUUAGCACAGGAGAGUUUCACCUGCUGGUCUCUGGCUGGGGAUAGGAGUUGGAGGUGGGGGAGGGCUUGACAGGGAGGGCAGAAAAUAAUUUGGGAGGAAACAGCUUGGCAGGGAUACUCUCAUGUUUUGGGAACCCCGUGCCCAGGGAGUGGCUCAUGUCAGCAGGCAGUGCUGGGAGUGAGGUGGGCGCGGCAGUGAGGCUUUGUUGAGUGGGAAGGGACACUCAGCCAACAUCUGCAAGGCAGUGGGAUUUGGUGGUGGUGUGUCUUCUAUUGAAUUUAAACUGCCAAUUUUCAAUUAAAAGUCUCAGUUUUAAAUUGACUAAAAUAAAAGCAUGUUCUAAAGAUCAGUCCUCGCGCAGUGGCUCAAGGCUGUAAUCUCAGCAUUUUGGGAGGCCGAGUGAGACCUUGUCUUAAAAAAAAAAAAAUCAGAACUGUGCAAAGGUGGAAUCAUAACAGUGAUGAUGACGAUAAUAAUAGUUGUGAUGAUUAUGACAUUUUGGCAGGUUCCAAAAGAUGAAACUGAUUUAAUGCGGAAAUUUAAAAGAUUUGGUUCACCCUCUGUAUUUGGUUGCCCUAGAAGAAGACUAGAAUAUAAAUAUUUCCCCUCACCUCCUGCAAAGGUUUGAAUUAAACUUCCUCAAGGACUGGGGGAACCAUUUUUUUUUGUUGUUGUUAUUUUGUCAGAGUCUCACUCUUAUUGCCCAGGAGUGCAGUGGCACCAUCUCGGCUCACUGCAACCUCUGCCUCCCAGGCUCAAGCAAUUCUCCUGCCUCAGCCUCCCAAGUAGCUGGGAUUACAGGCGCUUGCUACUACGCCCGGCUAGUUUUUAUAUUUUUAGUAGAGACGGGGUUUCAUCAUGUUGGCCAGGCUGGUCUCAAACUCCUGGCCUUGGCUGAUCUGCCUGCCUCAGCGUCCCAAAGUGCUGGGAUUACAGGCAUGAGGCACCACGCCCAGCUGGAAGUUUUUUUGGUUGAUUCAGCCUCUGGGUCUAAGCAAAGAUAUUUGAGUUGGUUGCCAUCCCCAGAUAAGUGAGAAUAUCUGGCAGCACUCAUUUUCAGCCCUGGGCCGCAGCCGUUGCUGUGAGGCAGAAAUUAAAAAAAGAUAGUAAGUACUACAUUCAUUCACUCCAAGAAAAGUAACAGACAAGGCUAUAAGAAGGUCAUAGUGACCUAGUCUGAGAAGUAAAAGCCAAGGCCCAGAAUGUGGCAAGGCAAAGGUUAAAAAGAAAGGAAGAGCAAGUUUUUCUCUGCCUAGCAAGCUCACUUCAAAGACAAUUAUAAGAUAAUGCUCUUCGAGAAGUCGAAACCAAAGGAAUAGGCUCCAGACAUCCCCCGUCUGGAGCAAGGGUGAAGGAAAAAAAAAAAAGGACAAAUGUCUGUCUGUAUUUAGCCAGUUCUUGUUUUUUCUUUCCACGCAGCUACAAGGCCACCAGCUAUGCAAAGCCACAAGUUAUGCCAAGUCAUCAGUUAUGCUAUAGAUUAUGUGACCUGUCAUUAUAUGAUUAACUGCCUGUUUUGCUUCUGUAAGCCUGCUUAUAAAAAUCCUGCUCAGUCUUUGUUCAAUGCUCAGCUUUUUGGAUGUGAAUCCACUGAGCCAAUGCCUACCUUAAAAUAAACAUCGUCCUGUUUUUCCAUAUCUGUC